rnacentral:rRNA from 1 species
GUACUUACUCCUACGGGAGGCAGCAGUGGGGAAUAUUGGACAAUGGGCGCAAGCCUGAUCCAGCCAUGCCGCGUGAGUGAUGAAGGCCUUAGGGUUGUAAAGCUCUUUUAUCCGGGACGAUAAUGACGGUACCGGAGGAAUAAGCCCCGGCUAACUUCGUGCCAGCAGCCGCGGUAAUACGAAGGGGGCUAGCGUUGCUCGGAAUCACUGGGCGUAAAGGGCGCGUAGGCGGCGUUUUAAGUCGGGGGUGAAAGCCUGUGGCUCAACCACAGAAUGGCCUUCGAUACUGGGACGCUUGAGUAUGGUAGAGGUUGGUGGAACUGCGAGUGUAGAGGUGAAAUUCGUAGAUAUUCGCAAGAACACCGGUGGCGAAGGCGGCCAACUGGACCAUUACUGACGCUGAGGCGCGAAAGCGUGGGGAGCAAACAGGAUUAGAUACCCUAGUAGUCCAGGCAU